CACGGGUGAGUAACACGUAUCCAACCUGCCCUCUACUCGGGGAUAGCCUUUCGAAAGAAAGAGUAAUACCCGAUGGGAUAAUUAUUCCGCAUGGUAUGAUUAUUAAAGCAUUUCGGUAAAGGAUGUGGAUCCGUUCCAUUAGGUUGUUGGUGAGGUAACGCCUCACCAAGCCUUCCAUGGAUAGGGGUUAUGAGUGGAAGCUCUCUCACAUUGGAGGUGAGACACGGUCCAUACUCCUGCGGGAGGCUAGCAGUGAGGAAUCAUCGGUCAAUGGUCGGUAACAUGUCCACACCUAGUAGCCUGUAGGCUGACGCCUGUCUGGGUUGUAUCAUUGUUUCAUACAUGAAUCAAGUUCAGUAUGUAUUCCCUUUUGUAGGUGUUAUAUGAAU
rnacentral:rRNA from 1 species